AUUCCAGCUCCAAUAGCGUAUAUUAAAGUUGUUGCGGUUAAAAAGCUCGUAGUUGGAUUUCUGCUGAGGACGACUGGUCCGCCCCCUGGGUGAGCAUCUGGUUCGGCCUGGGCAUCUUCUUGGGGAACGUAUCUGCACUUGAUUGUGUGGUGCGGUAUCCAGGACUUUUACUUUGAGGAAAUUAGAGUGUUUCAAGCAGGCCCGCGCCUUGAAUACAUUAGCAUGGAAUAAUAAGAUAGGACCUCGGUUCUAUUUUGUUGGUUUCUAGAGCUGAGGUAAUGAUUAAUAGGGAUAGUUGGGGGCGUUUAUAUUCCGUUGUCAGAAGUGAAAUUCUUGGAUUUACGGAAGAUAAACUACUGCGAAAGCAUUCGCCAAGGAUGUUUUCAUCA
rnacentral:rRNA from 1 species